rnacentral:rRNA from 1 species
UGAGGAAUAUUGGUCAAUGGGCGGGAGCCUGAACCAGCCAAGUCGCGUGAGGGAGGAAGGUCCUACGGAUUGUAAACCUCUUUAGCCGGGGAGCAACGUGCGCCACGUGUGGCGCAGUGAGAGUACCCGGAGAAUAAGCAUCGGCUAACUCCGUGCCAGCAGCCGCGGUAAUACGGAGGAUGCGAGCGUUAUCCGGAUUUAUUGGGUUUAAAGGGAGCGUAGGCCGGAGGGUAAGCGUGUUGUGAAAUGCAGUUGCUCAACAUCUGCACUGCAGCGCGAACUGUUCUCCUUGAGUGCGCAGGAAGUAGGCGGAAUUCGUCGUGUAGCGGUGAAAUGCUUAGAUAUGACGAGGAACUCCGAUUGGGAAGCCAGCUUACUGUAGC